rnacentral:rRNA from 1 species
ACGGCUCAGUAACACGUGGAUAACCUGCCCUAUGCUCUGGGAUAACCUCGGGAAACUGAGAAUAAUACCGGAUAGAUCACAACGCCUGGAACGGUGUGUGGUUGAAAGGUUACGGCAUAGGAUGGGUCUGCGGCGUAUCAGGUCGUAGGGGGUGUAAUGGACCCCCUAGCCAUCGACGCGUACGGGUGUUGGGAGACAUAGCCCGGAGACGGAUUCUGAGACACGAAUCCGGACCCUACGGGGUGCAGCAGGCGCGAAAACUUCACACUGCAGGAAACUGUGAUGAGGGAACUCCAAGUGGAUGCACAUAGUGUAUCUCUUUUCUUUACUAUUAAUCGGUAUUGGAAUAAGGGCUGGGAAAGACCGGUGCCAGCCGCCGCGGUAAUACCGGCAGCUCGAGUGGUCGUCGCUUUUAUUGGGCCUAAAACGUCCGUAGCCGGUUUGGUAAAUCUGUGGGUAAAUCAACUAGCUUAACUAGUUGAAUUCUGCAGAGACUGCCAGACUAGGAACCGGGAGAGGUGUGGGGUACUCAAGGGGUAGGGGUAAAAUCCUGUCAUCCUUUGAGGACCACCAGUUGCGAAGGCGCCACACUGGAACGGAUUCGACGGUCAGGGACGAAGCCUAGGGGCACGAACCGGAUUAGAUACCCGGGUAGUCCUAGGUGUAAACGCUGUGAACUUGGUGUCGGGAGUCCGCAAUGGGCCCCCGGUGCCGGAGUGAAGAUGUUAAGUUCACUGCCUGGGGAGUACGGUCGCAAGGCUGAAACUUAAAGGAAUUGGCGGGGGAGCAC